rnacentral:rRNA from 1 species
CCUACGGGAGGCUGCAGUGGGGAAUAUUGGACAAUGGGGGGAACCCUGAUCCAGCCAUGCCGCGUGUGUGAAGAAGGCCCUCGGGUUGUAAAGCACUUUCAGUGAGGAAGAACGCCUGGUGGUUAAUACCCAUCAGGAAAGACAUCACUCACAGAAGAAGCACCGGCUAACUCCGUGCCAGCAGCCGCGGUAAUACGGAGGGUGCGAGCGUUAAUCGGAAUUACUGGGCGUAAAGCGCGCGUAGGUGGCUUGAUAAGCCGGUUGUGAAAGCCCCGGGCUCAACCUGGGAACGGCAUCCGGAACUGUCAAGCUAGAGUGCAGGAGAGGAAGGUAGAAUUCCCGGUGUAGCGGUGAAAUGCGUAGAGAUCGGGAGGAAUACCAGUGGCGAAGGCGGCCUUCUGGACUGACACUGACACUGAGGUGCAAAAGCGUGGGUAGCAAACAGGAUUAGAUACCCUUGUAGUC